AUUGAACGCUGGCGGCAGGCCUAACACAUGCAAGUCGAGCGGAUGAAGGGAGCUUGCUCCUGGAUUCAGCGGCGGACGGGUGAGUAAUGCCUAGGAAUCUGCCUGGUAGUGGGGGAUAACGUCCGGAAACGGGCGCUAAUACCGCAUACGUCCUGAGGGAGAAAGUGGGGGAUCUUCGGACCUCACGCUAUCAGAUGAGCCUAGGUCGGAUUAGCUAGUUGGUGGGGUAAAGGCCUACCAAGGCGACGAUCCGUAACUGGUCUGAGAGGAUGAUCAGUCACACUGGAACUGAGACACGGUCCAGACUCCUACGGGAGGCAGCAGUGGGGAAUAUUAGACAAUGGGCGAAAGCCUGAUCCAGCCAUGCCGCGUGUGUGAAGAAGGUCUUCGGAUUGUAAAGCACUUUAAGUUGGGAGGAAGGGCAGUAAGUUAAUACCUUGCUGUUUUGACGUUACCAGCAGAAUAAGCACCGGCUAACUUCGUG
rnacentral:rRNA from 1 species